rnacentral:misc_RNA from 1 species
UGAAGCCACUGGUGUCCGUGAAUCUGCAUCAUACAUAGAAACCAUUCAAUGAUACAGUUUAUCGAUACUAUCGCAAGUGAGGCGGAAGAAGAAGAGCACUGGCGCUGGCAUGAGCGAGCUGCUUAAACGCGUGCAGCCCAACCUUGAUAACUGCGCGUGCGUUUUCCUCAGAGUAUCAUACCAUGGCAAACGGCAAGAGGGCCAGUAUUCGCAACAUUGCAUUUAGCCAAGCCAUCGCCACGUUUCGUGAAGCUGAAGGACUGAACUUUAUCGUCGAAGACGCCUUUUCGAAGAACACAUUAUGAAGGCCACUGACCCUUCUGCACGAGUAUUUAAGCCGUUGAGGGAGUACUGGCGGUCUUGCCCCGAGGAGGAAGAGCAACCUUACCUGAGCCAGAUCACGAUGCGCGUCCACUCAAGCCUGUCCACGGUGGGCUUCGCAGCGUUCAGCCGUACGUUGACGGACGCAGGCAUUAGCCACAACGUUUUGCAGGCUACUACCACGAUAAAAUUUUUGUCCCUGCGGCGAGCAGGGCGACAGCGUUGAGUGUACUGACUGUUCUUUCCGCUGGAUCUUUCUAGUGACAUUAUCGACCACCUCGGUGUCUUGGUCUUUUGUGCUUUGGCACUCAAACACGGAAAAGCAAACAGCUCUCUGCGGUCUCUUGCAUUCCAGAGCCUCUCUGCACAUCAGCGAUGCAGUCCGAUGGGCUCCUUUCGUUCUGUUUUAUGCGCAAUGCCAUGUGUUGCUGCUGCGAAGAAAAAGAAGCACAUAGGCACUUCUGGGGUGCCGUUCUUGGAGCCCCCUUCCACUAUUCCUCUCUCCCCAUCGUUUCUCCGUUUUCACAUUUUCCGAAG